GACGGACGCUGGCGGCGUGCUUAACACAUGCAAGUCGAACGGUAAGGCCCUUCGGGGUACACGAGUGGCGAACGGGUGAGUAACACGUGGGUGAUCUGCCCUGCACUUCGGGAUAAGCCUGGGAAACUGGGUCUAAUACCGGAUAGGACUCCUGGCUUCAUGGUUGGGGGUGGAAAGCUUUUGUGGUGUGGGAUGGGCCCGCGGCCUAUCAGCUUGUUGGUGGGGGAAUGGCCGACCAAGGCGGUGACGGGUAGCCGGCCUGAGGGGGUGGCCGGUCACACUGGGACUGAGAUACGGCCCAGACUCCGACGGGAGGCAGCAGUGGGGAAUAUUGCACAAUGGGCGCAAGCCUGAUGCAGCGACGCCGCGUGAGGGAUGACGGCCUUCGGGUUGUAAACCUCUUUCAGCACCGACGAAGCGCAAGUGACGGUAGGUGCAGAAGAAGGACCGGCCAACUACGUGACAGCCGCCGCGGUAA
rnacentral:rRNA from 1 species